rnacentral:lncRNA from 10 species
AUCCCAUCGACCGCCCAAGGGCUGAGGAGUGCAGCUGCGCAGAGCGGGACUAGCGGGCAACUCCGCCCCGGCCCAGCACAGGAUCCACUAGGCGAAGCCAGCUGGGCUCCUGAGUUGGGUGGGGACUUGGAGAACUUUUAUGUCUAGCUGGAGGAGUGUACAUGCGCCAAUCAGCACUCUGUGUCUAGCUCAGGGUUCAUGGAUGCAGCAAUCAGCACUCUAUCUAGCUAAUCUGGUGGGGACUUGGAGAAACUUUAUGUCUAGCUAAAGGAUUGUAAAUACACCAAUUAGCACUCUGUGUCUAGCUCAAGGUUUGUAAACACACUAAUCAGCACCCUGUGUCUAGCUCAAGGUUUGUAAAUGCACCAAUCAGUGCUCUGUGUCUAAUCUAGUGGGGACUUGGAGAACCUUUAUGUCUAGCUAAAGGAUUGUAAAUACACCAAUCAGCAUUCUGUGUCUAGCUCAAGGUUUGUAAACACACCAGUCAGCAGUCUGUGUCUAGCUCAAGGUUUGUAAACGCAUCAAUCAGCACCCUGUGUCUAGCUCAAGGUUUGUAAAUGCACCAAUCAGUGCUCUGUGUCUAGUUAAUCUAGUGGGGACUUGGAGAACUUUUACCUCAGGCUGGAGGAUUGUAAAUACAGCAAUCAACACUCUGCGUCUAGCUCAGGGAUUGUAAAUGCACCAAUCAGCACCCUGUCAAAACAGACCAAUCAGCUGUCUGUAAAAUGGACCAAUCAGCGCUCUGUAAAAUGGACCAAUCAGCUCUCUGCAAAUGGGCCAAUCAGCAGGAUGUGGGUGGGGUCAGAAAAGGGAAUAAAAGCAGGCUGCCUGCGCUAGUAGUGGCAACUGGCUCAGGUUCUCUUCCACGCUCACGCUAUGGGAGUUUUGUUUUUUUGAUCUUUGAGAUAACUUGCUGCUGCUCAUUCUUUGGGUACACACUGAGUUUAUGAGCUGUAACACUCUUCGUGAAGCUCUGCAGCCUCAAUCCUGAGGCCACCGAGACCAUGAACCCAUGGGAGGAAUGAGUAACUCCAGACGCGCUGCCUUAAGAGGUGUAAUACUCACUGUGAAAGUCUGCAGCUUCACUCCUGAAGCCAGUGAGACCACAAAUCCACCAGAAGGAAGAAACUCCAAACACGUCUGAACAUCAGAAAGAACAAACUCCGGACAUACCAUCUUUAAGAACUGUAGCACUCAUCAUGAGAGUCUGGGGCUUCAUUCUUCAAGUCAGUGAGACCAAGAACCCACCAAUUCCAGAUACACCACAGUAUCAUUGUACUACACGGCUCUCAGCACCACUGACCUUGGUAUGGGAAAAAGCACAAGUGUGCAUACCAUCUUAUUCUCCUUUUAGAAUAUUUCACCGGCGGGGGAGGGGGGAGGUCACACCUGUAAUCCCAGCACUUUGGGAGAUUGAGGCGGGUGGAUUGUCUGAAGUCAGGAGUUCGAGACCAGCCUGGCCAAUAUAGUGAAACCCCAUCUCUACUGAAAUUACAAAAAAUUAGCUGGAUGUGGUGGUGGGUGCUUGUAAUUCCAGCUACCCAGGAGGCUAAGGCAGGUCUUGAAUUGCUUCAACCCAUGAGGCAGAGGUUGCAGUGAGCUAAGAUCGUGCCAUUGCACUCCAGCCUGGGCAACAAGAGUGAAACUCCAUCUCAAAGAAAAAAAAAGAAUAUUUCUCCAGGAGAACUCCACACUUGCACAAUAUCUUCUCCAAGGACAGAAGAGGGACAAUAUUUGUCCUUCCUACUGGAUUUUGAAACCCUUUGCACUGAGUGUAGACUGUAGUUCUGUGACAUACCAUGAAGAGUGUGUGUGUGUUUUAAGGGAGCUACUGUCUUACCCAAAACCUGUGAAUAUAAAGUGUUUUUUCAUGAAUUGCUCAUUAUUCAGCCAGUCGUUAAUGAAUUCAUUCAACAAGUGUCUCUGAGAUGCUAGACACUGGGGAUUAAAAGAGGAACAACAGAGACAAGAUCUCUGCCCUCCAGAAACUGACAGUCUAUUGAAUGAGACAGUUGUCUAACAAUCACAAUCAAGUGUGAUCAAUCUCUGGUGACAGGACUCUAACCUAGAGGCAUGUGCCUAAUCUGGGGUGACUGGUUAGGGAAAACUUCCAAAAAAGUUGUGACUUUUAGGCUAAAACCAGACUGC